AAUGAAGUCCAACACAACCCAAUUCUUCAGUUGCAGGAUUUGAAGUGUAUUAAUGGGUGGUAUAAAGGGAGAAUGUAAGAAGAAUAUGAUAAAAAUCCCCAAAGGUUGUUUUUCAGUUUAUGUUGGAUCUGAAAGACAAAGGUUUAUUGUGAAGACAAAGUUUGUUGCACACCCAUUAUUCAAGAUGUUACUUGAUGAAGCAGAAGAGGAAUUUGGGUUUCAAAAUGAUGGACCAAUUAGGCUUCCAUGUAACGUUGAUUUGUUCUAUAAAGUUUUGGCUGAAAUGAAUAAUUUUGAUGAAGAGGUUAAUAAGAUUAAUGAUGGUAUUUUUAGAAGCUUUAACAAGGCUAAAAGGUUUUCAUUAUUUUGUUCUUCGAAACCAAAGCUAUAUGAAUAAAAUAUAAGUCAUUCGUGAAGUGUAUAGUGUUAGGGAUAAGAAAACAAGGUAAUGGCCAUAAGUUAAUCUUGGUUAAUUUCAUGCUAAUCUGUGAGCAAGGAUAACUACUUUGUUUUACAGGAACUAGUGCCAAACAGUUAUGUGUGAACGUUGUUUCACACGAAUUGUGCAUUUGUUUACAUGAAUUUUUAUAAGACAAAUGUUUCUAUUUAAGAUUUGAA